rnacentral:rRNA from 1 species
CAGCAGCCGCGGUAAUACGGAAGGUGCAAGCGUUAAUCGGAAUCACUGGGCGUAAAGCGCUCGUAGGUGGCUUUGUAAGUCAGGUGUGAAAGCCCACGGCUCAACCGUGGAAUUGCACUUGAUACUGCAUUGCUUGAGUUCGGGAGAGGGUAGUGGAAUUCCAGGUGUAGGAGUGAAAUCCGUAGAGAUCUGGAGGAACACCAGUGGCGAAGGCGACUACCUGGACCGAUACUGACACUGAGGAGCGAAAGCGUGGGGAGCAAACAGGAUUAGAUACCCUGGUAGUCCACGCUGUAAACGAUGGAUACUAGGUGUCGGGGGCUUGACCUUCGGUGCCGUAGCUAACGCGUU